GAAGGCUAGCUACAGGCUUAACACAUGCAAGUCGCCCGGCAGCGAUGAAGAAAGCUUGCUUUCUUCAGGCGGCGACCGGCGCACGGGUGAGUAACGCGUAUCGAACCUGCCUCAUACUCAGGAAUAGCCUUGCGAAAGUAAGAUUAAUGCCCGAUGUUAUUAGGAUAUCACAUGAUGUUUUAAUUAAAGAUUUAUCGGUAUGAGAUGGCGAUGCGUCCCAUUAGCUUGUUGGCGGGGUAACGGCCCACCAAGGCAUCGAUGGGUAGGGGUUCUGAGAGGAAGGUCCCCCACAUUGGAACUGAGACACGGUCCAAACUCCUACGGGAGGCAGCAGUGAGGAAUAUUGGUCAAUGGACGCAAGUCUGAACCAGCCAAGUAGCGUGCAGGAAGACGGCCCUCUGGGUUGUAAACUGCUUUUAGUUGGGAAUAAAGUGCACCACGUGUGGUGUUUUGUAUGUACCAUCAGAAAAAGGACCGGCUAAUUCCGUGCCAGCAGCCGCGGUAAUACGGAAGGUCCAGGCGUUAUCCGGAUUUAUUGGGUUUAAAGGGAGCGCAGGCGGACCUUUAAGUCAGCUGUGAAAUACGGCGGCUCAACCGUCGAACUGCAGUUGAUACUGGAGGUCUUGAGUGCACACAGGGAUACUGGAAUUCAUGGUGUAGCGGUGAAAUGCUCAGAUAUCAUGAAGAACUCCGAUCGAGAAGGCAGGUAUCCGGGGUGCAACUGACGCUGAGGCUCGAAAGUGCGGGUAUCAAACAGGAUUAGAUACCCUGGUAGUCCGCACAGUAAACGAUGAAUACUCGCGAUUUGCGAUACACAGUAAGUCGCCAAGCGAAAGCGUUAAGUAUUCCACCUGGGGAGUACGCCGGCAACGGUGCAACUAAGGGGAAUUGACGG
rnacentral:rRNA from 2 species